UCUUCUUCGUUCUUCCUUAUUUUUCUUCUGUCUUCUACGACAUGACUUUAUGAUUUCAAAAACAAAUCUACAUUUGUUAUUAACAAUAUUGCUAACGAAACUCUAGCCGAAGGCAAAAGAAUGGCUCGAAGUCUUCCUACAUAUGUCAGUUUGCUUUCGUCGCAUUUGUGACCGGCAUCCACCGUUUGGGGUCUAAAUAAUCCACAUCUGCUGAUUCAAUGGUGUAGAUUUCAAAUUUGGAGUGGCAUGCCCUUUUGAUUGAUAACUCAAAUAACAGGUAAUAGUUAGUUUGGAGUAACUUUGUAAGUUUUAAUUUUAAGCUAUAUUUGAUUGAAUUCUUUAAGGGCUAAUGUGUUAGUUUAUUUUACACUUUCUUUAUUGCACGCAUGGUGUUUGAUAAAAUGUCUCAGCAAAGGAGAAAGGGAGUCGGUGAACGGGCAUAUGGCAACUUAUUUCUUUGUUUCACAAGUUUUAACAAAUGCAGUAAUUUUGUUAAAAUGAGCAUCAAGCACGCGUACGCAUCGAGCAAACAAGGGGAGGUUGUUUAUAAAGUGUGAAUGAAUGCAGUUAGACAAUGGUAAUAUCAUAUGCUUUCAUAAAGCUUCUGCAAUGGGUAACGGGUAACGGGAGAAAUUAAAUAUACUGAUAAAGCUUCAUUGGUUAUAAGAUUGGUCAAAACUUUCUCGAUGUUUGCAUAGGUUCGAACGGGUUAGCACGAAACUGAGGCAUGAGAU